UAAUGUGUCGCAAUUUAUCAAAAAUCUGACAUGGUUCUACCCGAACAUAUUCUCAGUACUGUUAUCAGUUAUCAUAUUUGUUCACUCAUUGGGACCAAGGACACGCGUUGCAAGUUAGGAAAUGUAGUGCUGUAACGCGGUGCAGGGACAAUAGGAUCUUGGCAUCUUGCCAUUGGGGAAUGGUACCGCAAUGUGCCGUCCUGGUGAACCUGCAACUGCAAUUGACGACAUGGAGGUCUGGAAAGAACAGAGUGCAACAAGUAUGUUCCUGCUAGGCUGGUACCGGCUUCGAUUCGAUGAUGCCACACGCCAUCUCCAGCAAGAUGUUAGCGGAAGCCAAAGUUUUGGGGCCGUGGGAGAAUCUCAUUGCAGUAACGGAGCUGAACAUCGUUGCGCAUUGUUGUGGGAAAGCGUUGGAAGGAAUCUGUGUUUGGGCGAAUAAGUAAGGGGCACAAGAUUCGUCAUUUGUAACAAGUGACAAAAGUCAUUGCAUUGUUGUGGUUUGAUUACUUCAUAAUCUCAAAAAGAUAAAUUCGCUUGAUCAUCCUCUGCAUUGUACUUGCUGCACGGUUUGUUCAAAUCGGACUUCAUUGGACAUGCCAGGCCUCACCGCAGUGACAUAGUUCGGAAUUUGUAUCAAGGGAUUUGCUUUUGGGUAACGAUGCACAAUAUAUGCUAAAAAAAUUUAGCAGGUUAUGUUCCUGUUGAGUAGUACAGUGGUUCGACUAUUCGUUUUUCAGUGAUCCUUUUCAGCACGAAUCACUUGCUCAGCUUCUUCAUGGUGCUCUUGUUCUACCGUUUGUUCAUAUAAAGCUUCAGAGAGUGCUAAAGCUUACAAACUGCAGAAAUGGGAGGAAAAAACCAAGAAAAUUACUUCGAGUGGCUUGCAACUUGGGUCGCUCAUCUUGCAAAUUUCAGAUGUGACCGUGACAGGCUGCCAGCUCUCACCUACGUAGAUGUUGAGGUAAACCAUGAGAAUCUCGGAAUCCGGAGACUCAUUAUUGGUGCUUCUUCAUUUCCAUGCCUGGUGCAAUGCGUGUUGCGGGGCUCUAUUGGACCUGUGACAUUUCAGCAGGGAGCUAUGCCCAGGCUCAAACUGUAACCUGUAACCUGUAAUUGUGCUCUGUUAAAUUUCUGGUAUAUAUCAUUGGUUCCCGAUGAGAGUUA